rnacentral:rRNA from 1 species
GGAUUAGAUACCCUGGUAGUCCACGCCGUAAACGAUGACAACUAGCUGUUGGAAGACAAUGUCUUUCAGUGGCGCAGCUAACGUUUUAAGUUGUCCGCCUGGGGAGUACGGCCGCAAGGCUAAAACUCAAAUGAAUUGACGGGGACCCGCACAAGCGGUGGAGCAUGUGGUUUAAUUCGAUGCAACGCGAAAAACCUUACCUACUCUUGACAUACUUGGAAGCUCUUGUAAUGAGAGUGUGCCUUUUGGAGCCAAGAUACAGGUGCUGCAUGGCUGUCGUCAGCUCGUGCCG